rnacentral:rRNA from 1 species
GAUGAACGCUGGCGGCGUGCCUAAUACAUGCAAGUCGAGCGAACAGACGAGGAGCUUGCUCCUCUGACGUUAGCGGCGGACGGGUGAGUAACACGUGGAUAACCUACCUAUAAGACUGGGAUAACUUCGGGAAACCGGAGCUAAUACCGGAUAAUAUAUUGAACCGCAUGGUUCAAUAGUGAAAGACGGUUUUGCUGUCACUUAUCGAUGGAUCCGCGCCGCAUUAGCUAGUUGGUAAGGUAACGGCUUACCAAGGAAACGAUGCGUAGCCGACCUGAGAGGGUGAUCGGCCACACUGGAACUGAGACACGGUCCAGACUCCUACGGGAGGCAGCAGUAGGGAAUCUUCCGCAAUGGGCGAAAGCCUGACGGAGCAACGCCGCGUGAGUGAUGAAGGUCUUCGGAUCGUAAAACUCUGUUAUUAGGGAAGAACAAAUGUGUAAGUAACUAUGCACGUCUUGACGGUACCUAAUCAGAAAGCCACGGCUAACUACGUGC